CAGCCGCCGCGGUAAUACGAGGGUGUCAAGCGUUGUUCGGAUUUAUUGGGCGUAAAGGGUGCGUAGGCGGUUUCUUAAGUCUGAUGUGAAAGCCCCCGGCUCAACCGGGGGGGGGUCAUUGGAAACUGGGAAACUUGAGUGCAGAAGAGGAGAGUGGAAUUCCACGUGUAGCGGUGAAAUGCGUAGAGAUGUGGAGGAGCACCAGUGGCGAAGGCGACUCUCUGGUCUGUAACUGACGCUGAGGAGCGAAAGCGUGGGGAGCGAACAGGAUUAGAUACCCCAGUAGUCCCUGUCUCUUAUU
rnacentral:rRNA from 1 species